GAGGCGAGGCGCGUAAUGCCCACGUGGCAAUGUGACCGAAGAGAAUGCCACCGCGGAUUUGAAGCCAACUCAAAAGGUCAUAUGGAUAAGGCACAUACCCCGUAAAUCAUCAACGACGAUGACGCUGCCCCUUUCCCCGUUCGCCAUCAUCAGCCCCUUUCCAGCACCAGCUUUCACUACCUCCAACACAAACCUCUCUCAUUCCUGUCAUCCUUUCUAUCACCGUUUCAAGCCCAUCAAUGCCUCCUCACAAAUCUCCCUCCACUCCCCUUUGUGCAGUCAAAGCCCCUCCACCUCCUCCUCUUCUUCCCUCCCUACAAAAACCGGCGUCAUUGUGAUCGGAGCUGGCCUCGCCGGCUUAGCCGCUGCCACUCGCCUCCAAGCCGACAAUAUCCCCUUCCUCCUCCUCGAAGCUUCUGACGCUGUUGGUGGCCGCGUCCGUUCCGACCUCGUCGACGGCUUCAUUCUCGACCGCGGCUUCCAAAUCUUCAUCACCGCUUACCCCGAAGCUCAAAAGCUCCUCGAUUAUUCACCUCUUAACCUCCAGAAGUUCUAUGCCGGAGCUCAGGUCUACUACGACGGUCGCUUCCACAUCGUAGCUGACCCCAUCCGUCACUUCUCCGAUGCUCUGUCGUCCCUCGCGAACCCCAUUGGUACGAUUGCAGAUAAACUCCUCAUCGCUUUGACCAGAAUCAGGGUUUUGACUCAACCCGACGAUGAAAUUCUGAGCGCUCCUGAGGUUUCGACCAUUGAUUUUUUGAGGAAAAUCGGAUUUUCGGAUUCAAUUCUGGAUAGAUUUUUCCGGCCCUUUUUUGGAGGCAUUUUCUUCGACACCGAGCUCAAAACGACGUCGCGGCUAUUCGAUUUCAUCUUCAAAUGUCUAGCUCUCGGCGAAAACACGAUUCCCGCCUGUGGCAUUUCCGCCAUUCCAGAUCAAUUGGCUGCCAAAUUGCCGUCAAAUUCGGUCUUUUUCAACUCAAGAGCAAGUUCUAUUAGCGUUAUCCAGGCGGAUUCCGACGACUUCACCGUGAGGUUAGAGAAUGGGGAGGAGGUGAAGAGCGAGCUGGGAGUAAUAGUGGCGGUCGAAGAAUUCGAAGCGGUUAAGAUUUUGGCGGGAAACUUGGACACUCCGGUUCAGGAAAUAAUUCCGAUUCGGAGCACUGUUUGUUUGUAUUUCUCAGCGGAUCAGGAUAAGGUGCCGGUUAAGGAUCCGGUUUUGUUUCUUAACGGGUCAGGAAAAGGGGUUGUGAAUAAUAUGUUUUUUGCCACCAAUGUGGCUCCAUCUUAUGGACCUCCGGGAAAGGGGUUGGUUUCAGUAUCUUUAAUUGGGUCGUUUGAUAACGUGGGCGAGGAGGAGUUGGUGGAGGGCGUUGUUAAGGAACUCUCGGGGUGGUUUGGGGAGGGUCUUGUAGGGUCGUGGAAGUAUUUGAGGAUGUAUAGGGUGGGGUAUGCCCAACCGAAUCAAUGCCCGCCCACAGAUUUAAAGAAGAAUCCGAGGGUUAAAUCCGGUUUGUAUAUAUGCGGUGAUUAUGUGACUAGUGCUACAUUUGAUGGCGCUUUGGUUUCUGGAAGGAGAGCUGCCGAAGCCUUGAUAAGGGAGAGGACACUGAGUAAAGUUUAAGUGCUGGCUGCUUCAUUGCAGUUCAACUCUUUGCUCCUGUUGGUCAUGCUGGGAUCUGCAUUAUAAAGUUCUUACUUGUAUUCUUUGUGUUCCCUCCAAAAGUGUCCCUGAGUUGCAGAUUCAAAGCCUUGCAGAGAAAUCACAUCCCUCAGCAGCGCAAUUCACUUUGGAUCAUCAAAAUGCCAUUACUAUCUUCAGCUUGUCUGUAAGGAGUUCAGGAUUCUGAACAGUAUCAAACUCAACUGCUAGAAAACCUGUGUUAAAUUUUGCAAUGCUAGUGUUAUCUGGAAGCCCAAGGAACUGGUUUGGAAGACAACCUCUUGGUUUUUUGUGGGCAUAAGAACAAAGGCAAAGCCAUGAGUUCCAAGAUUAGGAUGUCUCGGGGUGAUGGCGAACACAAAAGUUGCGCUGAAAUUAAUGGGAGAAGAUUUGUCACUACUCUUCUGUUUGCUUUCUUUUAACUGCAAAGGAUCUGAAUAGAAUGCACGUCCAAUUAACCUGGACGAGUCAUUAGUUAUGGUAAGCAUGCCAUCAGAUGUCACAUAUGCAGCUCCAAGACUCCAUCCAAGCUGAUGUUUGCUUGGAGAAACCCAUUGUAUGUGAAACUGCUUUCUGAACCUACAAAUUCUAGAAGGAAAAGGUGCACGAGUCUCGAAAUGAAAUUCGGCUUAGAGUUGCCUUGGCUCACAGGAUUUUGAGGUACAAAAAGUAGGAUGCAAUAUGAGGCACUGUUCAACAGUUCUGAGCUAAUGGAAACUGCAUGCUCUACAUAUAUUUCAUGCAGGAAUAGAAAUUCCUGCCAGAGUUCCAAAUAUCUUGGAAUCCGGGACAAUUUGCCAUGAGUGGAAAAUAAAAAAGGCAACCUGGAGCCAGGUCUUGGGCCUUGUUCCUCCUGUUAUGGAGUUAAUAUUGCUUUCUAGCAAAUCUGUAAUCUAGUGAUUCUAGUUUUGUUGCUAGACUGCGGUAUGUGUAGUAAAACCUGACCACCAUUAUCUCUCAUUUCCACCUGUUUGACCCAUAUAAUUGUAUCUAUGAUAUUAAAGCUGUU